rnacentral:misc_RNA from 1 species
GCAGUGGCUGCCAGAAAGAAAAGCAUAAACACAAGCAGUCCUGUCAAGGUAAGAAGAGUAAUAGUCCCAACGGAGAUUACGAGAAGUAGCCGCAGAUGGCUGCCUCUGCGAGUCCAGAGAAGAACUUUCCGGCCAGUAUUUUUAAUAGCAUCCUUAAGAAGAGGACCAUUCUCCGAUAAAGAUUUCUUGAUCCGCUGCAGUACAGGUGCUGAACUGUCAGAAUCAGGGAAGAAGAUCAUUGCUAGCAUAAGAUGGAACACAUCAUAGAGAUUCUCCUUCCGGCGAGCAGCUUUCUUCUGGCGAUGGUCGAAGCCGUUGAUGCCGUUAAUCCCUUCCGUUUCGAGCGGUCCGUCCAUGGCGGAAGAGAAAAGGAGAGUGAAAUUGAAGUCAGAGAGAGUGCAUUUGCCAAUUGCUGGUAAUUGACGAUUGAGAGAUUUGGAUUUAUAAAUAAUUCAUAUUUUUGUUGAGAAGCUUCCCGUCACAACGUGGGGUGGCGUGGGGAGGCUUAAUGGCUAAACUUCU